UAGUCCCGCAAGUGAGUCUCAAUAGAGUCCUCAUUAUAAUCAUCAGAGUCCUCCUCUUCGGACUCGCUCUGAGCCUCCUCUAGCUCCGAAUCAGAGUCGGAGGAUUCCAGUAGGGCCUUAGCCCUCUUCCAUUUCCUCACCGAUUUUGCCCGGUGGGGGGCUCUUAGUUGUGGUCCAACCACAGGUUCUGUGACAGGACGUGCCCUGUCCGUCUGUAGGGUUUUGGAGGCAUAAUCGUCUAAAUGACGAGAUUUUUUAGCGGCCUUACGCCCACUAGGGGCCACCAGCUUAUUCUCUGGGGGGUUAGCCGUGGGGUUAGCAGGUAAUUGCGUG